rnacentral:rRNA from 1 species
UACGUAGGGAGCAAGCGUUGUCCGGAAUCAUUGGGCGUAAAGCGCGCGUAGGCGGCCCUGUAAGUCCGCUGUGAAAGUCAAAGGCUCAACCUUUGAAAGCCGGUGGAUACUGCAGGGCUAGAGUCCGGAAGAGGCGAGUGGAAUUCCUGGUGUAGCGGUGGAAUGCGCAGAUAUCAGGAGGAACACCAAUAGCGAAGGCAGCUCGCUGGGACGGUACUGACGCUAAGGCGCGAAAGUGUGGGGAGCGAACAGG